GAUGAACGCUAGCGGUAGGCCUAACACAUGCAAGUCGAGCGGCAGCACAGAAACAGCAAUGUUUUGGUGGCGACCGGCGGACGGGUGCGUAACGCGUAUGCAACCUACCUUUAACAGGGGGAUAACGGCGAGAAAUUUCCACUAAUACCUCAUAACAUCGAUCAAGGCAUCUUGAUUGGUUGAAUACUCCGGUGGUUAAAGAUGGGCAUGCGUUGUAUUAGGUAGUUGGUGAGGUAAUGGUUCACCAAGCAUACGAUACAUAGGGGGACUAAGAGGUUAGCCGCCCGCACGAGUACUGAGACACGGACCGGACGCCGACGGGAGGCAGCAGUGGGGAAUAGUGGUCGAUGGUGGCAACCAUGAACCAACCAUGCCGCGUGCAGGAAGAAGGCUCUAUGAGUUGUAAACUGCUUUUAAACAGGGAUAAUGCAAAGUAUGUAUACUGUGUUGAAGGUACUGUAAGAAUAAGGAUCGGCUAACUCCGUGCCAGCCGCCGCAGUAA
rnacentral:rRNA from 1 species